UACGUAUGGUGCAAGCGUUAUCCGGAUUUACUGGGCGUAAAGGGAGCGCAGGCGGCGCGCCAAGUCUGAUGUGAAACCCCGGGGCUCAACCCCGGGCAUGCAUUGGAAACUGGCGGGCUGGAGUGCCGGAGAGGUAAACGGAAUUCCUAGUGUAGCGGUGAAAUGCGUAGAUAUUAGGAGGAACACCAGUGGCGAAAGCGGCUUACUGGACGGCAACUGACGCUGAGGCUCGAAAGCGUGGGGAGCAAACAGG
rnacentral:rRNA from 1 species